UACGUAGGGGGCAAGCGUUGUCCGGAUUUAUUGGGCGUAAAGAGCUCGUAGGCGGUUUGUCGCGUCUGCCGUGAAAGUCCGGGGCUCAACUCCGGAUCUGCGGUGGGUACGGGCAGACUAGAGUGAUGUAGGGGAGACUGGAAUUCCUGGUGUAGCGGUGAAAUGCGCAGAUAUCAGGAGGAACACCGAUGGCGAAGGCAGGUCUCUGGGCAUUAACUGACGCUGAGGCACGAAAGCUAGGGGAGCAAACAGG
rnacentral:rRNA from 1 species